GAUGAACGCUGGCGGCGUGCCUAAUACAUGCAAGUCGAGCGAACAGGCGAGGAGCUUGCUCCUCUGACGUUAGCGGCGGACGGGUGAGUAACACGUGGAUAACCUACCUAUAAGACUGGGAUAACUUCGGGAAACCGGAGCUAAUACCGGAUAAUAUAUUGAACCGCAUGGUUCAAUAGUGAAAGACGGUUUUGCUGUCACUUAUAGAUGGAUCCGCGCCGCAUUAGCUAGUUGGUAAGGUAACGGCUUACCAAGGCAACGAUGCGUAGCCGACCUGAGAGGGGGAUAGGCCACACUGGAACGGAGACACGGUCCAGACUCCUACGGGAGGCAGCAGUAGGGAAUCUUCCGCAAUGGGCGAAAGCCUGACGGAGCAACGCCGCGUGAGUGAUGAAGGUCUUCGGAUCGUAAAACUCUGUUAUUAGGGAAGAACAAAUGUGUAAGUAACUAUGCACGUCUUGACGGUACCUAAUCAGAAAGCCACGGCUAACUACGUG
rnacentral:rRNA from 1 species